UCAAAGCAGCGGAUAAACGAAUGGUAGAAAUAUGCUAGAAUACAGCAUACACUGUUGUCGUAAAUUUUCAUUCGUUUUUUCUUUUUUAUUGUUUUUCGUUUCUCCUUCAUACGU
rnacentral:ribozyme from 1 species